CGGCGAGCGAAGCGGGAAGAGCUCAAAUUUAUAAUCUGGCACCUUCGGUGUCCGAGUUGUAAUCUCUAGAAGUGUUUUCCGCGUUGGACCGCACACAAGUCUGUUGGAAUACAGCGGCACAGUGGUGAUACCCCCGUACACGGUGCGGACGCCCAGCGCUUUGUGAUACACUUUCAAUGAGUCGAGUUGUUUGGGAAUGCAGCUCAAAUUGGGUGGUAAAUUCCAUCUAAAGCUAAAUAUUGGCGAGAGACCGAUAGCGAACAAGUACCGUGAGGGAAAGAUGAAAAGCACUUUGGAAAGAGAGUUAACAGUACGUGAAAUUGUUGGAAGGGAAACGCUUGAAGUCAGACUUGCUUGCCGGAGCUUGCUUCGGUUUGCAGGCCAGCAUCAGUUUUCCGGGGUGGAUAAUGGUGGUUUGAAGGUAGCAGCCUCGGCUGUGUUAUAGCUUUCCACUGGAUACAUCCUGGGGGACUGAGGAACGCAGCGUGCUUUUUGCGAAGGUUUCGACCUUUUCACGCUUAGGAUGCUGGUGUAAUGACUUUAAACGACCCGUC
rnacentral:rRNA from 1 species